rnacentral:lncRNA from 1 species
AGCAUAACUGUGGGAGAAUAGUAAGCAUUGGACACAAAAUGUUGAAAACAUUCAAGUACGGAAUAAACUAUUACUGCGAAUACGCUCAUAUGACACAAGAACAAUCUCUGAGCUUCUUUGAGGAUGUCCAGAUGACUGCUGACUGCACUAAUUGCAUCAAUCGUGUAUCCAUACAGGUUCUUUCUAUAAAAUAGUGGUCGCUAGUUAUGAGGCGUUAAGCCUUCAUGGAUAUAAACAGACUAUUCCACCUAAGUGAUCUGGCAGAAGCUUAGUUUUCUACCACAACAUCCACCGUCCUCCCUCCCUCCCUUCCUAGCUGGUCAGAAAAGCUACUCAGAAUAAAGACUACAUUUCCCAGCCAUCUUUGCAGCUAGGUUUAUCCACCUGACUAAAUUCCACCGUAACUCCAGGUUGAAGAACUUCUACUUAUAGGCAUCUAUUCAACGAAGACGAAUCCUGGAAUGGGGAUGGAAAUGAUGGCUCAUGUCUUAGCAAACUACCAGUACGUCUACUAGAACCGGAACUGAUCCGAGAGGACAGGGAAGUCAGUGUGGGCGGCUCUAAGGAGCCUCCCUCUCUACAGCUGCGGCUCAGAGGAUUACGGCGCUUCAUCCACAAGGCAACAUUGCACAAGUAGCUUUUGAACAAAAGUCAUGGAUACUAUUAAUGAUAUGGUAAUCCUUAAUCGAGCUACCUCCCAGUAGUGAUUAUACUGACAUGGGAAGAAUAUCUAAGUCGUGGAGGCAGCCCACAACAACACUGUGUCAUUGUUCACCCCGGGCUCGACCAGGACUAACUUUUACCAGCAUCUCUAACGUCACCUUUCCCCUGAUGCCUCCCCACAACCCCUGGCCCCAGCUCCCAUUCCCGCCCCAUCAUAGCAAAAAAGUAGCAAAGAAAACCCUGAUCCUAAA